rnacentral:lncRNA from 1 species
UUGCAUUCCUCUUUUUGUGACAGAGUUUUCUUCUGCUGCUUUCAAGCGUGUCCUACAGUCAUUGUUCAUAGAUCCUCAGGCACCGCUAUUGAGAAAGCUUGACUAGAAGGAACUUGUUUACGGCUGUGGAGUGGGAACUCAAUUGUAAUGAUGCCACACAUCCCACUGGAUAGACUAACUGAGUUGAAGCAGCAGGUUCAAGAGUAUGUGAAGAUGUAAGGGAUGAUGGGGAAGGUGGGGCCUCUAGGAUUGAUGUUGGCAUGGACACUUUUGCUGUGUCA